rnacentral:lncRNA from 1 species
CUCCCCGAGGCCCGAGCGCUCGAGGAUCCUCAUCUGGAACUCGACGCUCUUGGGGUUGUUGCUGAGGUUGAGGCGGGAGUGCUCCAUGAAGGUGGAGAAGGGGACGCGGCAGGUGACUGGAGGCUUGAAACAGGCGUAGUCGACGAGGUAGAUGGAGCGGGGUUUGGACAUAAAGUAGACGGUGGCGAUGAAGAUGAUGAGGAAUGAGGAGCAGAGGAUUUGGACGAGAUCGAAGUGAAGUGAGUCCCAGAGCUUGAGAAGCUCGUCGGGGCCGAGGCGGAUGACCUCCAGUAGGAUUCCGGCCAUGAUGAGGAUGAGAGUGAGGGUAAGAAUGUGGUUGACGAGGUACUGGUAGCCGAGCUUGACAUACUUGAGCUUGACGG